rnacentral:rRNA from 1 species
AACGAACGCUGGCGGCAGGCUUAACACAUGCAAGUCGAGCGCCCCGCAAGGGGAGCGGCAGACGGGUGAGUAACGCGUGGGAAUCUACCCAUCUCUACGGAAUAACGCAUGGAAACGUGUGCUAAUACCGUAUACGUCCUUCGGGAGAAAGAUUUAUUGGAGAUGGAUGAGCCCGCGUUGGAUUAGCUAGUUGGGGGGGUAACGGCCUACCAAGGCGACGAUCCAUAGCUGGUCUGAGAGGAUGAUCAGCCACACUGGGACUGAGACACGGCCCAGACUCCUACGGGAGGCAGCAGUGGGGAAUAUUGGACAAUGGGCGCAAGCCUGAUCCAGCCAUGCCGCGUGAGUGAUGAAGGCCCUAGGGUUGUAAAGCUCUUUCACCGGUGAAGAUAAUGACGGUAACCGGAGAAGAAGCCCCGGCUAACUUCGUGCCAGCCGCCGCCGUAACAC